rnacentral:rRNA from 1 species
UCAGCGACGUCUGGUGAGUAUUMCCUAAGAAUUACCCUGCCAGWGCCUGCCAACGGUUCGGAAGGGACGGUAAUGCGGGAUACGUCCUACGGGAGAAAGCAGGGGACUUCGGGCCUUGUGUUAUCAGUUGAGCCUAGGUCGGAUUAGCUAGUUGGUGAGGUAWUGGCUCACCAAGGCGACGAUCCGUAACUGGKCUGAGAGGAUGAUCAGUCACACUGGAACUGAGACACGGUCCAGACUCCUACGGGAGGCAGCAGUGGGGAAUAUUGGACAAUGGGCGAAAG